rnacentral:ncRNA from 1 species
AUAAAUAUUUAAAAAGAAAAUGUGAUUACAAGUUUGUAGUGUACUAUUCAUUAUUUUCUUUACAUUAAUAUCAAUACAAAGAGCAUUCGUACUUGUUUAUGUGUAUCCGUAGGAAAAAUAUUUGUUUCCAAAGCUCAAGGAACAUAGAGAAAUGCGAUUGCUAGUUAUUAUGGUUUAUUGAAAUUUAUAAAUGACUAGGAGUAAAUUUAUUUGUGGGUUUUUUUUAGAUGGUGAACGGUCGAAUCAGAAUUAGUAUGGACAAGGGGAAGCUGAUUGUUUAAUUAAAACAAAGCAUUGUGAUGGUCCCUACGGAUGACACAAUGUUAAUGAGAUUCCCAUUGUCCCUAUCUACUAUCUAGUGAAACCAAAGCCAAAGAAACGGGCUUGGUAGAAUCAACGGGGAAAGAAGACCGUGCUGAGCUUUCCGACUUUGUGAAAUAAUAACAUUUGUUAGUUUAUAAUGUCAUUUUUGUGUGAUGUUUAAGC